AUCGGGCAAUAAGAAUGAAUGAAAAAAAAACAAACUAUACAAUCAUGUCAUCAAAAGAAAUGAACAAAAUCCUUCAUUUUUAGGAGAUUUUCUUAGAUUAUGUGGAUAAAGAUGAUAUCAAGUGAAUCAUUUUCAUGCUGAUGACAAAGAUGAAGAAGACAGAAAGAGACACAGAGAUGAAGAGUCAAUGGUUCGGAUAAGACAAAAAGUUUCCUUGUUUUCUGCUUAUUCCCGAUUAUCUUGAUAUUCACAAUUAUUGUCACGCAAUUGAAGAUAAUCAGUUAAAUAUGGUUCAUCUUUUAGCUUAACUAUUUAAUAAUAUUAUUUAUCGUUAUCAUUAUCAUCAUAUUAAUGUUAUCAUAAACUUUUGUUUGUUAUCCUUUAGUUUCCGGGAUAAAUAAAUUACCAACUGAAACCGAGGAAAAGGAAAGGAUAACAAUUUAACCGAUUGACAAUUGAUUGACAAUUAAAGUUAUCGAAGGGAGCAAAAACGAUAAUAAUAUGAUGAUAUUAUUUUCUCAUUAAUUUAAUAUUCUCAUUUUUCAACAUUCACAUUUU